CAGUGGUGGCCUUCAUCUUGAUCCCGGCACUCGUCUUUUGGUUGGUUUGCCAAAAGUUCAGCACUAGACCAACGUCAACCCCGAGAUCCACAGGUCAUCCAGAUUCAUCUAAAGUCACUGAAAGCCGACCCCCGGCUGACAGUGAGGGGGACGUAUACAUGAACUACACCUGCUCUGACGAAGGCUACACCGACCUCGACCCCGGCAACAUGCCUGAGGAUAGUGUCUACUCCAGCUUUUCCUAAAGCUCCUGUACCAGACCUCACACACAUACGUAUUUACCUGCAGUAUACGGAUAAGUAAG
rnacentral:lncRNA from 1 species